rnacentral:lncRNA from 1 species
UAGAAUUCACAAACAAGUUUUUAUAGAUAUAUAAUGAGAUUUUCUUUUGUCACUGUAUCAAUUUCCCGCGCACCCUACAAGUUUCCGUUUUUACCAUUCCACUACUUAAGUAUUAGAUGUUAUAAAAACGAGAAAUUUGAGGAAAAAACACCCUACAUAAAAUUCAAGAUUUUAAACGUCAGCUACUAAAGUAGCCGAUAGAAUCCGCUACUUAAGUAGUGGAUUUUGUAGGGCAUGGGUAAGGUAGCAUUUGAUAUUUUGUUUCAUCUGAUUUUUAUUACUUGAGUGAUUUUGUUGCUUAUUUUCUGUGACUUAGUAUUUAUCAUUAAUUACAAAUGAUUAAUAUUCACAAUGCCUAACACCUGAUAUGCAAUUGUUGUGGCAGCAUAUCAAUCAUCAAAAAGGGAAUCAGGGCUUUGCUCUCAGUUCUAAUCAAAUAGUUAUUGGCAAGGUCUUUCUGAGCAUUUCUUGAUUACACAUUUAAUGUCACAUAAGCAAUUUAUUGGUUAGCUAACAACAAAGGUGGUUCGGUAUCUUCAUAUUCAUAUAGCAUCAAGAGUUUCUAUGAUAUGUCAUGUAAAUUGAUUCAAUGUAAAUUGACAUGUCAUGUAAAUUGCUCUAUUUUACAACUUACCAACUAUCAUUCUUAUUCAAUCUCACCUAUUUCUCAACUUACGAAUGAUCAUUCUGUUUGCGACUGAUUUUUAUUUAAAACAUUCAUGCAAUAAUGUUUGCUGUGACAGAUGACAUUUUUGUUAUAUCUUCCUGUAACUAAGGCGCGACAAUGCUUCUAUGUACUGAACAUAUAAAUGAUGAUGCAUGUGUGUGAGGUAAAAACAAAAUGGUAAAAACAAAAUUUUGAUGUCAAUGCAAAACUAGUGUACACCAUGGAUAGAACUAUUAUGUAUCAUUGGCUUCAUACAACUCGUGUUGUAGCACAAUACAGUCACUGUACAAACAUACAACAACCUGAAUUAAAACUAGCUAGAUCAAAUAAGAGUGACAACAUCGUCACACUCAAAUCAAGCUAAUUUUGAACAGUAGGUAAAAACUAACAUAGUAGCGAAAAUAAUGACAACAAUAAAACUACGACAUUGGCACCAUUUGAUUGAUCGUUGAACCAUUAGUCCUCCUCACUCUAGUCCUCCUCCUGUUCAUUCUUCUCGUAGGCUGACCACCAAAUAUCAUCACAAGCCAUCUUGGCUUUCCAAUUAAAAACACAAAAUAUCCAAUUCCUAUUCCAAUCACAAAUCUACAUCCAUAUCCAAUUGCCACUGGUAUCCAUCCAAAUCCAAAUUUCUCUUCACUCCAAAAGUUGUUGGCUGAAGGUGGAGAAUGUUGUUCCAGUCCACAUUUCUCGGUCAAGGGAAAUCCACAUAAUCCUAUGUUUCCUUCAUAGGAAUCAUUUGAAAAUGUAUUGAACUGCUUACCUCGAGGAAUUUCUCCCAUUAGAUGGUUAUGGGAAAGAUUCAAGACUUCAAGAUUGUUAAGAUUGGUUAACUCUGCAGGAACCACACCAGUGAGUAUAUUUGAGGAAAGAUCCAAUGAUUCCAUGUUUAACAAGUUUCCUAUGGAUUGGGGAAUAGGACCUGUGAGCCUGUUAUGGGAAAGGUUAAGCCCUUUGAGUGCGUGAAGCUCUCCAAUAACAUUUAGAAUCUCUCCUUGAAACAUGUUUUGAGAUAAAUCAAUAUUCGCAAAGGCUAUUGGAAUUUUCACCAUCACAAUGUUGUUUCCUUUCACUGUAAUAGUCACAGAAUCAUAGUAUGUCAUGUCACCUACUUCCAUCCUUUGCAUGUAUUGCGAGCUACUAACCUCUACAACUUGAAUAACAUUUUUCAUGGCAUCAAAACUUUGUAUGUAAUCUUUUGGUAGCGGGCCACUGAAGUUAUUGCAUGAAAUAUCAAAAAUAAUUAAACUAGGAAAUGGAUUCUUGAUAUUUAUAUUAGCAACUGGACCAUACAACCUAUUCUCUCGCAAAACCAAUACUUCCAAAUUUUGCAUAGUUUGAAGCCAUUAUGGAAAAUGGCCUUCUAGUUUGUUGCCACCAAGAUU